rnacentral:rRNA from 1 species
GGGUGUCCCUUCUGGGACACCACCGGCGGACGGCUCAGUAACACGUCGGUAACCUACCCUCGGGAGGGGGAUAACCCCGGGAAACUGGGGCUAAUCCCCCAUAGGUGUGGGGUACUGGAAGGUCCCCACACCGAAAGGGGCUUCGUGCCCGCCCGAGGAUGGGCCGGCGGCCGAUUAGGUAGUUGGUGGGGUAACGGCCCACCAAGCCGAAGAUCGGUACGGGCCAUGAGAGUGGGAGCCCGGAGAUGGACACUGAGACACGGGUCCAGGCCCUACGGGGCGCAGCAGGCGCGAAACCUCCGCAAUGCGGGAAACCGCGACGGGGGGACCCCCAGUGCCGUGGCAACGCCACGGCUUUUCCGGAGUGUAAAAAGCUCCGGGAAUAAGGGCUGGGCAAGGCCGGUGGCAGCCGCCGCGGUAAUACCGGCGGCCCGAGU